GACCGCGUAGCUUAGUUGGCAGAGCAUUGGGCUAGUAUUCCAAAGGUCGUAGGUUCGAUUCCCAUCGUGGUCA
rnacentral:tRNA from 1 species